rnacentral:rRNA from 1 species
UACGUAGGGGGCUAGCGUUGUCCGGAUUCAUUGGGCGUAAAGAGCGUGUAGGCGGCCAGGUAGGUCAGCUGUGAAAACUGGAGGCUCAACCUUCAGACGUCGGCUGAAACCAUCUGGCUAGAGUCCGGGAGAGGAGAGUGGAAUUCCUGGUGUAGCGGUGAAAUGCGCAGAUAUCAGGAAGAACACCCGCUGGCGAAAGCGGCUCUCUGGAACGGUACUGACGCUGAGACGCGAAAGCGUGGGGAGCGAACAGG